UCUUCCCAUUCCGAACAGAGAAGUUAAGCCCAAUAGCGCCGAUGGUACUGCAGAUUUUGUGGGAGAGUAGGUAGCCGCCGUUC
rnacentral:rRNA from 1 species